ACCAUUCCUCCGUUCCUGUUCUCGUCACGCGCGUCAAUUCCGGCGAAGACCUCGGAAGGGGAAAGGCGUUUCGCGAUUGUUUGAUCAUGUGCUCGGAAUCCUCUUCUCUGGUCUGCGUUUUCUAUUGGUGAGAUUUUUUUCCUCUCCAUGGAGAAGAGCGAGGCGGUUCCUGAUUUCGCGCCGAAGAAAUUGGCGAGGCAAUUGGAUUUCACGGCGGCAGCGGCGUGCCGAGCGUCGGCGAACGUGGUGUUUCCGGAACCGGAGAAAACUCAAGUAGCGGUCGAGUCACAGUCACUGCCCAAGCCGUCACCGUCACAGUCACAAUCACAAGCCCUCCCAUCGCAGUCGCAGCCUCAAAAGCCGACUGUCUCACUAGCGCAAUUGCAGAUAAAGUCACAGCCAAUGUCGUCACAGACGCAGCUCCAAUCGCCGCUGAAGCCGGUGCAGCAACCUUGGAUGAACCAAAGGAUUCCUCAUCCGGUGCACAAGAUUCCGAUACAGACGCCAUUGUCGGUCAGACAAGAAUCUCCCAAAUCACGCCCUGGGAUUGAAGAAAAAGAUGGAACUCCAAAGAAACAAAAGCAAUGCAAAUGUCGAAACUCCCGGUGCCUGAAGUUGUACUGUGAGUGCUUUGCAGCUGGAAUUUAUUGUGAUGGCUGCAACUGCUUGAAUUGCCAUAAUAAUGUGGACAAUGAGACUGCUAGAAAGGAAGCAAUUGGGGCAGUCUUAGAGCGUAAUCCAAGUGCAUUCAGACCAAAGGUUUCUAGCAGUCCACGUGAAUCUCGGGAUGGCAGAGAAGACUUGGGGGACAUCCAAGCUGCUGGAAAGCACAACAAAGGAUGUAACUGCAGGAAAUCUGGGUGUCUGAAGAAGUAUUGUGAGUGCUUCCAAGCCAAUAUUCUGUGCUCUGAAAACUGUAAAUGCGUGGACUGCAAGAAUUUUGAUGGAAGUGAAGAAAGAAAGGCUUUGUUUCAAGAAGAGCAUACCGCAGUCUACAUGCAACAGGCAGCAAAUGCAGCAAUUAAUGGGGCCGUUGGGUCUUCUGGCUAUGGGACUCCUCCGUUAUCCAGAAAAAGAAAAAGCCAUGAAUUGUUUUUUGGUCUUGGAGCCAAAGAUCAACCCAUUCACACGACAGCCAGAGGUCAACAGGGAAACCAACCUACUGCUUCUGUGGCCACUUCUCCUAUGUUAUCAGGCUCUGUUCGUAAGAAUGCAUCGACUUUGGGAUCUUCCAAACUCACCUACAGAUCUCCAUUGGCGGAUGUCCUCCAACCUCAAGAUGUGAAGGACCUCUGCUCACUUUUGAUUGUGGUUUCAGGAGAAGCGGCAAAGACCUUUGCAGAAAGUAGAAAUAAAUCUUCAGUUGCUUCACCCACACAAGGGAGAGGAGAAAGUCAAGAAGAGAAUGGUGUUCAUGAUGCUGUUCGUUCCAAUCCAUUGGAAGAGAAGCAAGCAGAUAAAGAUGGCACAAGUGAUUCUAGGUUAGAUGCAUGUAAUGCACAAAGCGAUGAGCCGAUGUCUCCAGGAACACUUGCAUUGAUGUGUGAUGAAAAAGACACAAUGUUUUUGGCAGCUGGAUUGCCUAAUGGAGGUAUAACACAAAGUGAAAACAUAAAUAAAAACCCAUCUAGUGGGAGCAGCUACACCGAGCUUUAUGCAGAGCAGGAAAACCUUAUCCUGACUGGGUUCUGUAAUUUUCUUAACCGGCUCAUUACUCGUGGGAGCAUGAAAGGCUAAGUUCCCCCGCGGCCAAAGCUUUUCGGGACCGCAUUAGGAAGGGUUGAACAGAUCCUUGCACUCCCCGACUCCAAUCGCAGCUCUUCCGUUCUCAAUAGUCCUGAGAACCAAAGGUUGUACGGUCUGCAAGUCGACCUUCCUCGUCUUUCACUGCCAAUUAUGCCACCACCAGAACUCCUCCAAGGCCCAGCAUCGAAAAUGAAGUAUACUCUGCCUAGCAAGCAGAAGAAAAGCAAGCGCUCUGGCUCCACAAAGUCGACAAGUAAGUCGACUUUUCAAGAUGUCCUAGAUGUUAGGUAACGGUCGAGAAUGGUCAUCACUCCCAUGUCGAAAAGGCUGUGGGUGAGUGAGAAUCCAGGAGCGAUCGCGAUCAAGGGGGCUUCUGGGAGCUCGUGGCAGCUUGACAAGGGCAAGGACGCCGAGGUUGUUGCCAACCUCGCUCUUCUA